AGGACAAUGUUCUGUGUCUUGAUUUUGGUCAUGAUUUCACCAUGCACACAUUUCUCAAAACCCAUGCAGUUUAUUGUAAACAAAUUAUAUUCCAAUAAAGUUGAUUUACAAAAGGAACACAUUCUUACACGUUUACCCAAAUCCUGUGAAUUCUCAAAGAAGCUAUGCUCAGUGUCACUAACUUAGAAUUCACUUUGUACCUGAACUUUGGUGGCUGUGAAGGCCUCCUGGUAGACCUCGGCUAUCCUGUGCACCAGAGGAAGAAACGUCUACAUAAUAAAUGUACUGUUUCAUCCUUCUAUUCACAUCACUCUAAGGGAAAAGCAACAAAACCAGGGAAUAUAGUCGUCUCCUGUACCGUGCUAUUAAGUCUAAGACGUUCCUUGAGGGUAAGAUCUUUAACUUCUUAUCUCUGCUAACAUCUUAUCCCUAACUUCUUAUUCCACAACACAAGCAAGUACCUGGAAAAUAAAUUAAGUAAUGGAAAG
rnacentral:lncRNA from 1 species